CCCGCCACGUGACUGGCGGCCGGGCGAGCCCGGUGCCCCGCGCCCCCCCCGUGCCACAGCUCUCGGACAGAGCAUCCCCGGCCGACCUCUAACCACGGGCUCCCGUCUUAGCGACUGGCAGAGAAAAGGGAAAAGGCGCCAAGGCCGGAUGGCGCGUGCUCCCAGGGGCCUGCCUGAGUCUGAGGUGUGGGGGACGAUGGGCGCACGGAGUCGGAGGGGAAGUGACUGGAAGAGGAGAGAUCUGAGCAGAAGUUGAAUGGGGCGCGGGUGUAUCUCGGACCCGGGAAAGGACGAGGGGCCGGAGGCUAAGAUUCCAGACUGUGCACUCGGAUGUGCUCGGAUUCCAAUCCCGGCCUUGCCACUGUAGUUAAGUGACGUCGGGGAAGUUACUCAAACCCUCCGGGCCUGUUUCCUCAUCCCUAAAAUGGCAACAGUAAUAAAACCGACCUUAUAGGCUUGUUAGGAGGUUUUGAUGAGACAAUUUAUGGAACUUGUUUACUACAGAGCCUGGCCUGUGACCUUUGAUGAAUGAUUUGUGUUCGGAAAGCCAGAUGUCAGGAAAGAAGGACAGUGCAUAACAGGAAGAGAUCAAAAGCAAUUCCAAGGUUCUUAGCAGGAAGAAUAGAAAGGAGGAAUGACUGGGGAAGAUGAUGAAAUAAUGCAGAGUGGAAGAUAUCCACAAGUGGAGGCAUUCACAAAUGGAGACACACAAAGAUGAAGCCUGAGGACUUUCCCAUGAAGCCAGGUCUCUAGGCAGCUGGUUGUUCCGUCUUCCUCCUGGCCCUUUUUUUUUUUGGCAUUCUACCCUCAACAGGAAAAGGAUAAAAAAAGGUUACUCUAUGCAUCCCAACUCAAGUGCCUGACAUCCCUUAGAAGUUUGAUUCUUGUGUUCAAAAUAUAUGUGGAGUUUGGUUCAAUUAAAUUUUAUGAUACCAGAAUUGUUGAAAGAAGUUAUUUUAUUAUUAUGUGUUUUUUUUUUGUGUUUCUUAUCUUAAGUAUUAGUGAUCUCUGUUUUUAACUCAAGUUUGGAAAAACAGGCUAUGAACUUUUCUCAGCCUUUGAUAACAAGGCUCCAGCUGAACUGCCAAAGGACGUAGCCUCAAAGAAACCAAGUAUUUUUUUUUCUUUAACAAUUUAACUUUCUACCUUUUUUCCUUCAAAAUGUAUCACUAUAAACUUUUUACAAACAGGGUCUGUUUCUUCUCUUUUAUCUUGCACAUUGCUUUGUGGAGACACACACGUAUGGUAAAUAAACAUUUGUGGAUUAUUAGCAAGUGGUAGCUGUCAGUAUAAUGAUGAUGAUGAUGAUAGCAGCUAACAGGCACUAUCAUAGCAUUUUAGAGUUAUUCAGUGUAAAACCUCUUUUACCUACAACAAAGCUGUCUUUAAUUCUCUGGCAAAACUCUUAAGAAUUUUUACUGCAAUAAAUUUCACAAUCCAGCCUUCACUUCCUUUUAUUGUUUUGGCUUCAAGAAGCUGUCACUUUUUUAGAUCCAUGCUUGUUGCCAAGGCUUGACCUGAACACACAACGGGUAGCUGCUUUGCUUGUCAUAGGACAUAAAGCAGUAGCAAAGCCUAAGGUAAUGUGGCACUUAGUAUAAACCCUUUGCAUUUUAUGUAAACCCUUGAUUCUAGCUUCACUGAAGUAGGAGACGUAAUAAAAAUGUUGACUUGAAAUCUACUCUACCUUUUGCAUCUUUCAGAAAAAUAUUGGUCUGAGCACCGGCUUCCUCACCAAAAUUGGCUCAAUUUAGAACAAAGUAGCAGUAGUUUUUUUUUCCCCCAAUUCAGACUUUCUGUCCUUGAAAAGGCAUUUCGCCUCAUACAAUUAUGAAAUUUCACAAUUUAGCAGUGAGAAAAGGACUGGUAAAGCCGCUAUGAAACAUGCUUGGGACCUGACAUUUUAGUAAUAAAUUGUGCAUUUUCUUCUGGAUCACAAGAGGUAUUUUUGCUGAUGAAUAAUAAUUCUCUGACAGAUUUAGGGGAUGAACGGUAAUGUGCCUUUGUUUACUUGGGAAUUUUUAAGGUACUAGCCUAGAACCAAUUUUAAAAAUGCCGAUCUUUGAUCAACCUGAGCUCUUUGCUUAGCUAUAUCACACUUCUGCCAUUUCUGAAGACAUUUGCCAGAAUUGGUCAUUUACAGCCUUAAAGUUUGCUACAGUAUUGGCAUAUCCAUUUUAGCAAUAUCCCUGAAUAUAUAUACAUGGAGAGAGAGAGACCUUGUGGGGCAAUGGUUAAGAGUUCAGCUACUACCCAAAAGUUCAGCAGUUCGAAUCCAUCGCCACUCCUUGGAAACCCUAUUGGGCAGUUCUACUCUGCCCUAUAGGGUCGCUAUGAGUCGGAACUGACUCAAUGGCAGUGGGUGUUGGGUUAUUAAAAAAAAAACCUCAAACCUGUUGCUGGUUAGCAGCUGUAGCUUUCAACCACUGCGCCACCAGGGUUCUCUCUCUCUCUCUCUCUCUAUACGUUUGAAGAUGUUUAUUCAUUCACCUCCUUUAUCCAUUUAUUCAUCCAUUCCAUAUUUAUUGAAUACCUACUAUGUGCAAUGCAGUUUCUCCAAUCUUACCCAACAUUGGGCUACUGUUAUGGUUUGAAUUAUGCUCCCCCCCAAAAUAUGUGUUGUAAAUCCUAAUCUCUAUGCCUGUGGUUAUAAUUCCAUUUGGGAAUGGAUUAUCUGUGUUUUGUUAAUGAAGCAAGAUUAGUGUAGGGUAUAUCCGGAGCAAUCUCUUUUGAGAUACAAAAGGAGAUUAAACAAUGGAGUAGAGAGAGAGGUGGAGAAAGACUGAUGCCAAGCCACAUGGAGAUCUCUAAGGAACUAGGAAACAGAAGCUGAAGAGACAAGGACCUUCUUCCAGAGCCGACAGAGAAAGACUUCCCCUGGAGCCAGCUUCCUGAAUUUAGGCUUCUAGCCUCCUCAACUGUGAGAUAACAAAUUUCUGUUUGUUAAAACCAUCUACUUGUGAUGUUUCUGUUAUAGCAAUACUAGACAACUAAGACAGCUACCAAUUAGUAAGAUUUUUUUAAUUCUGUUUUUAAGUUGUUCGUUCCCAUACGUGGAAUGAAUUUCAAAAAGUACUGAGGAAUAUACUGUAUAGUGAGAAGGAAAUCUCCUUGCAGCCCAGCUCCCUAGCCAUUCACCAACCCUCCCUAGUCAACCAAUGUUACCAGUAACAUUUUUAUGUGUUACUUUUAUAGCCUUCUAGAGAUACUCUAUGUGUGUGUAUAUAUAUAUAUAUAUAUAUAUAUAGUAAAAAAACAAAACCCAGUGCCCUCGAGUCGAUUCUGACUCAUAGCGACCCUGUAGGACAGAGUAGAACUGCCCCCUAGAGUUUCCAAUGAGCGCCUGGCCUAUUCGAACUGCUGACCCUUUGGUUAGCAGCGGGUUUAUAUAUAUAUACUAGCGUAUGGAAACCCUGGUGGUGUAGUGUAGCUACAGCUGCUAACCAAAAGGUCAGCAAUUGGAAUUCACCAGGUGCUCCUUGGAAACUCUAUAGACCCUGUCCUAUAGGGUCGCUAUGAGUCGGAAUCGACUCAGCCGCAACGGGGUUAUUAUAGUAGCAUACUGUAUAUACUAUUCUGCACCUCUUCUUUUUUCACUUAAUAUUAUCUACUGGUUAAGAUUUAUUGUUCCUUUGGUACAUUAAGGAGCCCUGGUGAUACAGUGGUUAAAGUGCUUGGCUGCUAACCAAAAGGUUGGCGAUUUGAACCCACUGGAGUUCUGCAGGAGAAAGCUGUGGCAGUCUGCCUCUGUAAGGAUUUACUGCCUUGGAAACCCUGUGCCGCAGUUCUACUCUGUCCUUACAGAGUUGCUAUGAGGUGGAAUCGACUUGAUGGCAAUGGGCCUAUUGGGUUUUGGUACAUUAGAUUAAUUUCAAUAUCAUAACUGACAUAUUUCAAUAUUAAAAUGCUAGCUUAAAAGAUGUCCCACACUGAAUUUCUGUUAAUGGUGGUGGAAUAAUUUGGAAAAGGAUAGUGGUAAUGGCUGCAUAAUAUGAUGGACAUAAUGUCAUUGAAUUAUACAUGUAAAAAUCAUUAGAAAAUAUUUUGUUAUAUUUAUUUUUACCACAAUUAAAAAAAAAAAGAAGAGGCCUUGAAGUGAUUUCCCAAAGGUCAAUAAGUAGUGUAUGUUACAGAAUCAAAAAAAAUUAUAAACUUGUACCUUUUCUCAAAAAAAAAAUUCUAUAGUUAUACACAUGAAACAAGAACCAAAAAAAAAAAAGAAAGAGAACAAUUAAGAGAGAGUAGUAAUAGAUACAUGGUCUGAGAAGAGUAGAUAUACACUCAGAAAAAGGUAAAGAGGCAAUAAUAAUUUGAGUGAAGAGCGUGUGCUUUGUUAUUCCAUACGUGACCAACAUGUUGCAAGUUGUUUUUUGAGUGAUCAGCUAUCAAUAAUAACCUGCUCAUCCAGUGAGUCAGAGCCCAGCAGGGGAGUUUGUGGGUCUAAAGUGUUUCCUGCUUAGGUGUUCUGCUAAAGGCUCUAAAGAGCACCACAUUUGUCAGGACCACUGAAAACUUGUUUUUGUUUUUUUAAAGUUCUAAGGAAGGUCACCAAUCCCAGGAUGUUCACCUUUUAUUUACCUAGAUUUCCACCCACAGAAUCCAAGGAAUGAAAUUGUAGGGACAUAUCGAGAAAUGUAAAUCCUUUGUUUUGCCACCAUAAUUUUGACAUACGUACUCUAAUAAGCUUUAUAUAUAAAAUUUGGAUUCCUGCAAUGUGCUAAUGUUCUUCCAAUUUAUCCAAAAUUGAUCUA